CCUGCCGAAUGGAUUAGCCCUGAAAAUGGAUGGCGCUGAAGCGGGCAGCCGACACUAUGCCGUCUGAGCAAAAAGAAACAUUCAAAAAGAUUUUUUUCUUUUUGUUUCUCAGUUGCAAAAAAAAUUCGCUCAGAUGAGUAGGAGGAACGUGGCGGUUGUGAAGAAGCGUGUGCGCAAGCAUGCGUGGAACGGCCGCUAGUGCAGAUCUUGGUGGUAGUAGCAAAUAUUCAAAUGAGAUCCUUGAAGGGCGAUGUGGGGAAGGGUUCCACGCGAACAUUGAUUGAGCGUGGGUGAGUCGUUCCUAAGCCGUCUGGUAAUUUGUUAAUGAAAUUCGGCGAAAGGGAAGCAGGUUGAUAUUCCUGCACUCGGAUGUGGAUAUGCGGUGACGCACACUGGGGCGGUGAAGUCGUCGGUUGCACUGGGCAGAGAUUUCUUUUCUGUUUAACGAAGCCUGGCUGUACUCUAUGGAAUCCGCUUGUCGGGAGAAAUAGGUAUGCCACGGCAAAGCGCCGGGUUUAUUUUCUGGCGUCCAGUUUGCGAUAGGCGAACCUUGAAAAGCCGUCUGCUGGCAAAAUGCUUUGAAAGAAAAUUCCUUUUUUUUUUGAUGUGUUUUGUGUGAAAAAAAUCCACGCCGAAACGUACCCAUAACCGCAUCAGGUCCCCAAGGUGAACAGCCUCUGCUCGAUAUGAAAAAUGCAGGUGAGGGAAGUCGGCAAAUUAGACCCGUAACUUUGGGAAAAGGGUUGGCUCUAGUGCUGCGUAGGAGUGGUUGCUGGUUGUANCCGCGAAAUUGGGCUUAAUUUCUACCGGGGGANAAUUCUUCUCUCCAGUGGGGCUGUUUUUUUUUCUUGUAUGAAGAGCUACUGUUUCGGUUUUUCGUAUGGGGGAACGCCUGACUGGUGAGAGGGUUUUUUUCUGCGUGGGAAUUGGCUCGAUUUCAGUGGUUCCUGNCGACGCCUACAGCAUGCAGCAAAUUAGAACUGCAACGGACAAAGGGAAUCCGACUGUUUAAUUAAAACAAAGCAUU
rnacentral:rRNA from 1 species